rnacentral:rRNA from 1 species
GUCUACGGCCAUACCACGUUGAAAACACCGGUUCUCGUCUGAUCACCGAAGUUAAGCAACGUCGGGCCCGGUUAGUACUUGGAUGGGUGACCGCCUGGGAAUGCAGGUGCGUUAUGAC